rnacentral:ncRNA from 2 species
UAGAACGGAUGAGGCGCAUCAAUCAUUAGUACUUAUAUACUUAACUUCUGCAAAGUGUAUAUAACGAAAGGGUGAGAUGCCGAAAUGGCCGGUGGUCAGCAGACACCGGCUUUUGGAUCCAGUGGUUAAGAGCUGUGGAUUUGUCAUUAUUUGAAAGAAUAAUGGAGGGCAUCGCUUGUA